rnacentral:rRNA from 1 species
CCUAUCAUGCAAGUCGAACGCUUCUUUCCUCCCGAGUGCUUGCACUCAAUUGGAAAGAGGAGUGGCGGACGGGUGAGUAACACGUGGGUAACCUACCCAUCAGAGGGGGAUAACACUUGGAAACAGGUGCUAAUACCGCAUAACAGUUUAUGCCGCAUGGCAUAAGAGUGAAAGGCGCUUUCGGGUGUCGCUGAUGGAUGGACCCGCGGUGCAUUAGCUAGUUGGUGAGGUAACGGCUCACCAAGGCCACGAUGCAUAGCCGACCUGAGAGGGUGAUCGGCCACACUGGGACUGAGACACGGCCCAGACUCCUACGGGAGGCAGCAGUAGGGAAUCUUCGGCAAUGGACGAAAGUCUGACCGAGCAACGCCGCGUGAGUGAAGAAGGUUUUCGGAUCGUAAAACUCUGUUGUUAGAGAAGAACAAGGACGUUAGUAACUGAACGUCCCCUGACGGUAUCUAACCAGAAAGCCACGGCUAACUACGUGCCAGCAGCCGCGGUAAUACGUAGGUGGCAAGCGUUGUCCGGAUUUAUUGGGCGUAAAGCGAGCGCAGGCGGUUUCUUAAGUCUGAUGUGAAAGCCCCCGGCUCAACCGGGGAGGGUCAUUGGAAACUGGGAGACUUGAGUGCAGAAGAGGAGAGUGGAAUUCCAUGUGUAGCGGUGAAAUAC